UACGAAGGGGGCUAGCGUUGCUCGGAAUCACUGGGCGUACAGGGUGCGUAGGCGGGUCUUUAAGUCAGGGGUGAAAUCCUGGAGCUCAACUCCAGAACUGCCUUUGAUACUGAGGAUCUUGAGUUCGGGAGAGGUGAGUGGAACUGCGAGUGUAGAGGUGAAAUUCGUAGAUAUUCGCAAGAACACCAGUGGCGAAGGCGGCUCACUGGCCCGAUACUGACGCUGAGGCACGAAAGCGUGGGGAGCAAACAGG
rnacentral:rRNA from 1 species